ACAAAAUUACGUGUCAUUUCACGCAAUUUCUCGCUUCUGACGUUACGACUUUAAUAUGGUUGCGACGAAUAUUCAAAAGCCUUAGUUCUAAGACGUGAAAUUCGUUUUUCGAAAAAAAGAAAGAACGGAUGCCGCUAAUUUAUAAAUCUAAACGUUAACGUAAACGUUUCUGACUUAAAAGCAUGCGUUAUUAUUCCUUUUCUCCUUAAAUAAAAUUCAAUCAACCGUGACACUAGAAGGAUAAUCACGAACUUUGACAUACCUUUUACGUUCUAAGCCUCUUGAGACAAAGAAUAAAAGAAAUAAGCUGCAUACUCUGUCCAGUAUAUAUCAAUAGUUCAAACUCACUGCGACCGAAUACGUUAUAAUAUUUUCAAUUCUUGUCAUACUCAUGAAAAUGAAAAUUAAUUUGUUCCUAUUUUACAUUUACAGCGAAAUAGUAGAAUCUUCCCAUAAAUAUGCUCUCGGUCACAAGCAUAUAUCUCGGAAAAUUAACCCUGAUUAUGCAAUAUUUUAUACGAAUGUGUAAGUAUUGCACUUUACACGGAAAUUAUUUGGAUUAUAAAAAGUUUUUGCAAGAAAUUAAACUUUUAUGGGAAGAAUCCAAUAAGCCUGUCACUUGCAGUUUUUCUCAGCUUCCUAAUAAAGUAAUAGUUAAAAUAUUGGGAGAUUUAGAUUUAAAGUCAUUGUGUCGUGUGAGUAGAGUAAAUAAACGGCUGUACACUUUAUCACGGGAUUCUCGACUUUACAAAAGCCUGAACGUACGAAAUAUAUUCUACACUUAUAGGCGCUAUAAUAUCGAUGAUAUAUUUUUUUACGUUGCACCUAAAUGUGAAUAUUUGUCACAGUUAGAUCUAUCAUUUUGUGAUUGUUCUGUUAUGGUUUUUAAUAUAUUUCUUGCUACUCGUGGCAAACUUCUGACGCAUUUAGUAUUAAGACAUUGCCCAUUUAUUGACGAAUCUGCUGUACUUCAAAUUUCAAAAAUAUGCAAAAAUUUAAAAGGUAUACAUAUAAAUAAUUAUACAAUAAUUGUAAAUACUGUAUAACUAAUAUAAAAUUAUAUAUACAUAACAAUAUAUAUUUUUUUCAGGAUUGGAUUUGAAUGGUUGUAAUAUCGGAAAAGCCGAUGGAUUAUCUCAUCUUCAAAAUCUAAAGUCGCUUGAGCGUUUACAUUUGGCAUACGUACGAGACAUAAAAGUUGAAACUGUUUGCGAAAUACUGCAGAGAAAUCAACAAAUGCGCUACUUAUAUUUAGCAUGCCCAAAUAGAUUUUUUAAUGUAGACAAAGUCGCAAUAACACUGAAAACUUUUUGCUCAAAUUUUGAAAAGAUAAAUUUAACAAAAAUUCGUUUGACCUCGCAAGGUAUUGAUGCCCUUGCCGAUUGUGUGAAUUUGAGAGAAGUAAAUUUUAUAAACAUGUGGACAGAUGCUAAAAAUACAACCAACGUAAGGAAUAGCUUCCAUAGAUUGUUUUCCUCAUGUCAACGCUUGGAAAAAAUCGAUUUUAGCUUUAAUGAUGCUCUCACCAAUCGUGAAUUAGAAAUUAUAACGCUAUGCAAAAAUUUAAAAUGUUUAACUUUGUUACGUAUCCUCGAUGUAACACCUGACGUAUGUUGUGAAAUUUUUCUGCAAUGUCCCAAAUUAGUAGAGAUCUGUCUUGAUUCACUCGUAGUUAAAUGUUUAAUUCAUCAAUGGAACGAAAAAUAUCAGAAUGAAAGUUAUCGGAAUGUAACCAUUUUUUCUUCGACUUUUUAACGUAAUAAAUUCUUAUAAUGUAUAAAAAACUUGUUAUGAGAUAUAACAGUAAGUAAUUUGGUAAUGGGAUAUUGUUGAAUGAGAAGCAAAGGCAAAAUUGUGCAUUUAGUUGGUUUCCAAUAUGAAUUAAAUCUGAAGAACAUAUUCCGCAGCCAAAUUAACGACAACACCAUAGCAGAUGAUAAUAGCAAUGCGACGACAGCAACAAACACUAAACAGAUCUAUUAGUCUAUUGUAAAGCGUCUACAGACUUGUAUUAUACCAUACCUAAUCUGUCGCCAGAGAGGUAUGAAAUCAAAUCUGUUUUUAAGAACAAAAGCAGAUCAAUAUCAAUUUCUUCAUUGUAUUGAUUUUUGUAAUUAAUUUUUAUAAAUAUAAAUUGCACUAUCAAAA